rnacentral:lncRNA from 1 species
GCCAGGGAAAGAAGAGCUAACACAAAGUUAGUGGAAGUGAACCUCAGAGAGGAGGAAGGUACAGCAGGAUGAACAGGUUACAGGAACAAGCCAGAAAAGACUGUGGGGAAAAGAUCUUCCCCCAAAAAAGUGGAGUGUCAUGGGCAUAUGGUAAUUGUGACAGCAGGCUGCAUUUUCCUUUCAAACUCACUGAAUUUUUUUUUCUCUGCUUUUAAGGUACUGCGAAGACAGACAACACAGAAGUUCUUCUCUCUGCUGACUUCACUGGAGCAAUCAAAGUGUUUAUUAACAAAAGGAAAAAUGUAUCUUAAUUUAAAUUGACAUUUAAAAUAAACAUAUCAGUAAGUUUCUAUAUGUAUCAGAACUGAAAAAAUAUAUAGUAUUUCAGGCUAACAUCCUUUUUUAAUUUUUAUUGAAAGUUUUUCAAAUAUAAUAUAUUUUUUGAGAGGCAGUGUUAAUGAUCUAGGAAAUCCUGGACUGAUAGACUAGAAAAGAAUGUGGCUAGAUUAACAUUGCCAGACAUUAGGCUUUAUGUUUUGUUAUGUUUGUGUUUUUGUUAUAUAAUUAUGAACAUGCACAAGUUUCUGCAUGAAAGAUAUUAAUAUAUUAAUCACAUGUGUGUGCCUUUUGGUUACAUGCACUAAAUCUAACAAAGUUAAAUUAUUUCAGUGGCUCUUUUAGCCUCUUACUGGGGUAUAGUCUUGUUUCUAGCUUAAAUUUCUUUUGCACAAAAUUUCAUUUUAAAGAAAAGUGGUCUCCCUGGGUGCAGUGGUGCACGUCUAUAAUCCCAGCAACUCGGGAGGCUGAGGCAGGAGGAUCCCAAGUUCAAGGCCAGCCUUAGCAACUUAGUGAGACCUUGUCUCAAAAUGAAAAAUAAAAAGGUCUGGGGAUGUGGCUCAGUGGUAAAGCACCCUUUGGUUCAAUCCUCAGUACCAAAGAAAAAAUAAAAGUGGUCUCUUUUGACUGAGUUAUUGUUUUGAAAAUGUUAUACAGAUCUUCAAUAGGUCAAUAACCAUGGGUAAAUGGUUUUUAUAAAUUUCUCAAUUUGGGGACAAGAUUUUUUUUGUGGUCUAAAUUGUGGACUUAAGAUUAUUUUCUUUGUGUAUAUAUAUAUAUACAUACACACACACAUAUGUAUGUAUGUAUAUAUAUAUAUAUAUGUGUGUGUAUAUAUAUAUAUAUAUAUAUAUAUAUAUAUAAUUUUUUUCUUUGCCACACUGGAGCACAAUGUUUCUAUGUAAAGAAUUCUUUUCAUUCUUUAUUCAUGAGCACCAGGCUUUGCUCACUUAAAAAAAAAUAAGCCGCAUUAAGGAGUGAGUCUUCUUUUUUACAAUAAUGUAAAAUUGAACUGUUUACAUUUUUUUUAAAGCAUUGUAGUUUUUAAAAAUUCAAGCUUUUUUUUUUGUUGUUGUUGAAUUUGAAAGCCUUUGUAAAUAUCAAUAUAAUGUACCAAUGAAAUAACAUCUGGGACAGUGGAACCCUGACCAUGUUGUUGAUGGUUAGCAUAUGUUUCUGAAAAUUAAAUAUGUAUUAUUAAAAGUUGGUCGCCAACACUUGUUGAACAUGACUUAUUUUCAGAUGACUUCACUAAACAGGAAUGCAAGACAAACUCUGGUUUCAGUCA